GCCUUCAAAAUAAAAAAAAAAAAACCCUGAAACAAUCCCUUAAACUCCCUCUCCCUCCUCCAUUUUCUCAUUUCGGCUAGAGCUUCAACACCUAUCAUUGCCGCCAUCGUCGUGGCUUUUUGAGGCCACCGUAGUUCCCACCGUAGACAGUGGUUAAGGGUAUGCGAAAAGGGGCUUUCCACCUUUGUUCAAGGCGCCCGAGAGUUUAUGAGGAUAGACCCCUUUUUAUUUCCCUUUUGAAUCGGUCUCAAUCACAGAGCAGAGGCUCCGGCGACGCGAUUCCAGGCUUCGGUGCCAUGCGACGUGUGGAAGAGGCGACGGUCAGGGCGUGGUGGCCGAGGUGGCAUGCAUGGGAGGAGCGGCGGCUGCAAUGCUUUGGUGGCUAGGGUUCUUUUUUAGCAGAAAAUAUUUUAUGGGCUAGGGUUUCUAAGCUUUUAGGUUUAUUGGGCUUCUUUUGGGUUUUAAAAUUUUUUAGGCUGGUGUGGGUUUUGCAAAUAGACAUUUAUUUUAUUUAUUUUAUUUGGGUUUUGUUACUUUAAUGGGUUUGGGUAAUUUGUCUUGGGUUGUUUAACAUUGUAAAUGGACUUGAAAGUUGGUUAUGUGGAUUUUUAUUUUUUGGCUUGUUUGCUUGGGCCAAAAUUGGCCAUCACAAUUAUUUUUCACAUGUAAUUAUUUUAUUAGGUUCCACAUAAGAAA